rnacentral:rRNA from 1 species
AGUGAACGCUGGCGGUAGGCCUAACACAUGCAAGUCGAACGGCAGCACAGUAAGAGCUUGCUCUUACGGGUGGCGAGUGGCGGACGGGUGAGGAAUACAUCGGAAUCUACUUUUUCGUGGGGGAUAACGUAGGGAAACUUACGCUAAUACCGCAUACGACCUACGGGUGAAAGCAGGGGAUCUUCGGACCUUGCGCGAUUGAAUGAGCCGAUGUCGGAUUAGCUAGCUGGCGGGGUAAAGGCCCACCAAGGCGACGAUCCGUAGCUGGUCUGAGAGGAUGAUCAGCCACACUGGAACUGAGACACGGUCCAGACUCCUACGGGAGGCAGCAGUGGGGAAUAUUGGACAAUGGGCGCAAGCCUGAUCCAGCCAUACCGCGUGGGUGAAGAAGGCCUUCGGGUUGUAAAGCCCUUUUGUUGGGAAAGAAAAGCAGCAGGUUAAUACCCCGCUGUUCUGACGGUACCCAAAGAAUAAGCACCGGCUAACUUCAUG